rnacentral:sRNA from 1 species
CUGCGAGGAAAGGCUCCUAGGCUGGGUCCGGGUGCUUGGCGGCGGCGGCUUCCUCCCCGCUCGUCCUUCCCGGGCCCAGAGGCACCUCGGCUCCAGUCAUGCUGAGCAGAGUAUGGAAGCACCUGACUACGAAGUGCUAUCCGUGCGAGAACAGCUAUUCCACGAGAGGAUCCGCGAGUGUAUUAUAUCAACACUUCUGUUUGCAACACUGUACAUCCUCUGCCACAUCUUCCUGACCCGCUUCAAGAAGCCUGCUGAGUUCACCACAGUGGAUGAUGAAGAUGCCACCGUCAACAAGAUUGCGCUCGAGCUGUGCACCUUUACCCUGGCAAUUGCCCUGGGUGCUGUCCUGCUCCUGCCCUUCUCCAUCAUCAGCAAUGAGGUGCUGCUCUCCCUGCCUCGGAACUACUACAUCCAGUGGCUCAACGGCUCCCUCAUCCAUGGCCUCUGGAACCUUGUUUUUCUCUUCUCCAACCUGUCCCUCAUCUUCCUCAUGCCCUUUGCAUAUUUCUUCACUGAGUCUGAGGGCUUUGCUGGCUCCAGAAAGGGUGUCCUGGGCCGGGUCUAUGAGACAGUGGUGAUGUUGAUGCUCCUCACUCUGCUGGUGCUAGGUAUGGUGUGGGUGGCAUCAGCCAUUGUGGACAAGAACAAGGCCAACAGAGAGUCACUCUAUGACUUUUGGGAGUACUAUCUCCCCUACCUCUACUCAUGCAUCUCCUUCCUUGGGGUUCUGCUGCUCCUGGUGUGUACUCCACUGGGUCUCGCCCGCAUGUUCUCCGUCACUGGGAAGCUGCUAGUCAAGCCCCGGCUGCUGGAAGACCUGGAGGAGCAGCUGUACUGCUCAGCCUUUGAGGAGGCAGCCCUGACCCGCAGGAUCUGUAAUCCUACUUCCUGCUGGCUGCCUUUAGACAUGGAGCUGCUACACAGACAGGUCCUGGCUCUGCAGACACAGAGGGUCCUGCUGGAGAAGAGGCGGAAGGCUUCAGCCUGGCAACGGAACCUGGGCUACCCCCUGGCUAUGCUGUGCUUGCUGGUGCUGACGGGCCUGUCUGUGCUCAUUGUGGCCAUCCACAUCCUGGAGCUGCUCAUCGAUGAGGCUGCCAUGCCCCGAGGCAUGCAGGGUGCCUCCUUAGGCCAGGUCUCCUUCUCCAAGCUGGGCUCCUUUGGUGCCAUCAUUCAGGUUGUACUCAUCUUGUAUCCUUCUGGAAACCCAUCAUUGCCUCUGUUCAGCAAACCUGUCUCCUGGGACUCUAGACCGAGCACUCCUUUGGGACUCUGAGCAACGCUGAUGGGAAGUGGGGCAAGUUUUCAUCAACCUCAGGUUCAGAAAGAAGGAAAAGACUUAAUUUUGAAAGGAGGGCUGGUGGUUCAGUAGAAUCUGAUCAGAAGAAAAUAAAAAGAGGCCGGGUGCAGUGGCUCACACCUGUAAUCCUAGCACUUUGGGAGGCUGAGGCGGGUGGAUUGCUUGAGUUUAGGAUUUCAAGACCAGCCUGAGCAACAUGGUGAAACCCGGCCUCUACAAAAAGUACAAAAAAUUAGCCAGGCGUGGUGGUGCAUGCUUGCAUUCCCAGCUACGUGGGAGGCUGACGUGGGAAGAUCGCUUGAGCCCAGAAGGUCAAGGUUGCAGUGAGCUGAAAUCGCACCACUGCACUCCAGCCUGGGUGACAAAGUGAGACCCUGUCUCGAAAAAAAAAAAAGAAGUGGGCUGGGAGAGAGCUCUGUUCCCUUUGAGAUGAGUUAUUAAUUCUUAGGAGCCAGCCAUUUAUUCCUUAAUGCAGUGGCAGUUACCUAAUGGUGUCCUCAGUUGUGGGCUUCUAUAGCUCUCCACUCUUCCGGAGCCUGCGGCCCAGAUGGCACGACACCGCCAUGACGCAGGUAGCUGGGAGGGAGUAAGGGAAGCUCCCAGGGGGUGUGGAUGGGCACUAGGUGCCUGCAGCUCUUCCACCCUCACCUCUCCUUUCCCUGCUUCCACCCAGAUAAUUGGGAACUGUGUCUGUCUCCUGGUCCUAAGCUCAGCACUUCCUGUCUUCUCUCGAACCCUGGGGCUCACUCGCUUUGACCUGCUGGGUGACUUUGGACGCUUCAACUGGCUGGGCAAUUUCUACAUUGUGUUCCUCUACAACGCAGCCUUUGCAGGCCUCACCACACUCUGUCUGGUGAAGACCUUCACUGCAGCUGUGCGGGCAGAGCUGAUCCGGGCCUUUGGGCUGGACAGACUGCCGCUGCCCGUCUCCGGUUUCCCCCAGGCAUCUAGGAAGACCCAGCACCAGUGACCUCCAGCUGGGGGUGGGAAGGAAAAAACUGGACACUGCCAUCUGCUGCCUAGGCCUGGAGGGAAGCCCAAGGCUACUUGGACCUCAGGACCUGGAAUCUGAGAGGGUGGGUGGCAGAGGGGAGCAGAGCCAUCUGCACUAUUGCAUAAUCUGAGCCAGAGUUUGGGACCAGGACCCCCUGCUUUUCCAUACUUAACUGUGGCCUCAGCAUGGGGUAGGGCUGGGUGACUGGGUCUAGCCCCUGAUCCCAAAUCUGUUUACACAUCAAUCUGCCUCACUGCUGUUCUGGGCCAUCCCCAUAGCCAUGUUUACAUGAUUUGAUGUGCAAUAAGGUGGGGUAGGGGCAGGGAAAGGACUGGGCCAGGGCAGGCUCGGGAGAUAGAUUGUCUCCCUUGCCUCUGGCCCAGCAGAGCCUAAGCACUGUGCUAUCCUGGAGGGGCUUUGGACCACCUGAAAGACCAAGGGGAUAGGGAGGAGGAGGCUUCAGCCAUCAGCAAUAAAGUUGAUCCCAGGG